AUUGGUGCAUUUACAAUCCCUGAGCUAGACACAAAAGUUAUCCACGUCGCCACUAGAUUAGCUAGAUACAGAGUGUCCACUGGUGUAUUUACAAACCCUGAGCUAGACACAGAGUGCUGAUUGGUGCAUUUACAAACCUUGAGCUAGAUACAGAGUGCCGAUUGGUGCAUUCACAAUCCCUUAGCUAGACAUAAAAGUUCUCCAAGUCCCCACCAGAUUCAAGAGCCCAGCUGGCUUCACCCAGUGGAUCUCGCACCGGCCGCAGGUGGAGCUGCCUGCCAGCCCCGCGCCGUUUCCCCUACUCCUCAGCCCUUGGGUGGUCGUUGGGACCGGGCGCCGGGAGCAGGGGGCAGCGCACGUUGGGGAGGCUCAGGCCGCGCAGGAACCCACGGAGGGGGAGCGGGGAGGAGACUCAAGCAUGGCGGGCUGCAGGUCCUGAGCCCUGCCCCGCAAGGAAGCAGCUAAGGCCCUGCGAGAAAUAGAGCACAGCAGCUGCUGGCCCAGUUGCUAAGCCCCUCACUGCCCAGUGCUUGCGGGCUGGCCGGCCGGCUACUCCGAGUGCGGGGCCCGCCGAGCCCACGCCCACCCGGAACUCGUGCUGGCCUGCAAGCGCCGCGCGCAGCCCCGGUUCCCGUCCGCGCGGAGCCCACGCCCACCCGGAACUCAUUCCGUCCCGCAAGCGCCGCGCGCAGCCUCGGUUUCCGCCGCGACUCUCCUUCCGCACCUCCCCGCAAGCUGAGGGAGCCGGAUCUGGCCUUUGCCAGCCCAGAAAGGGGCUCCCACAGUGCAGCGGUGGGCUGAAGGGUUCCUCAAGCGCGGCCAGAGUGGGCGCCAAGGCCGAGGAGGCGCCCAGAGCCAGCGAGGGCUGCCAGCAAGCUGUCACCUCUCAAUAGGAAUUGGUACCAACCUACUUACGAAGAAGUAUUUGUUUUAACCUGAACCUGGGGGAAAAACAACAUGAACUGUUCGUCUAUCUAUAUCGUCAUUAUUUUUUACCUCAUGGAUUGAAACAAAUUUUAAAGGAAAAAAGAAUGUUAAGAAAGAGCAGCACUUACUAUCAGGCAGGCACCUCACGAGCAUUGUGAACACUCAGGCUCGCUGCUUUCUGAAGGACAUGCCAAUCAUGCACAGCACUUACUAGAAACUGCAAGACUGCACAACAUGAUGGUAUUUAUUCCAGGAACAGGAGCCAGUCCUGGGCACACACAUAAGGGGACUUCCUUCACUCCCCAGAAUAAGAGAAAGCAUGCUGACACACAUCUGCCCAAGCAAUCAGAAGGCAGCUAAAGCCGCCACAGUCUUCACUCACCAACAGUUAGACCUUUUCAAUUGAUUUUAUUGAAGAAAGUGAGUGCUGAGCACCAUGAGUUCUCAUAAACAAUCCAUUUUGGCAAAUGCUUUAAGAAUGUUGGUUAAUUGCAGUUAGGCAGCAUCGACGUAUUUUAUUUUUUUGGAAAGCAAGAAGCUGGCUUACCAACAUUAAGUUAAACACCAUGUAAGGGUUAGAAAUAUGAAUCAACUAUUAGGGUGGUACCAUCUCUUUAUAAUAAACCAAUGUAGAUUGAUUAAGUAUAGCCUAAAAGUUUACCAGAAAUCAUAACUACAUUUAAGCUUUGAAUUUCAUGACUAGUGAUUAAUUUUGCAUGUCAACUUGACUGAGCUUAUAGGAUGCCCAGGUAUCUGAUUAAACAUUAUUUCUGGAGGUGUCUGUGAGGGUGUUUCUGUAAGAGAAUAGCAUCUGAAGGCCGGGUGUGGUGGCUCAUGCCUGUAAUCCUAGCACUUUGGGAGGCUGAGGUGGGCAGAUUGCCUGAGCUCAGGAGUCUGAGACCAGCCUGGGCAACAUGGCAAAACACCGUCUGUACUAAAAAAUACAAAGUUUAGUUGGAUGUGGUGGCGCACACCUGUAGUCCCAGCUACUAGGGAGGCUAAGGCAUGAGAAUUUCCUGAGCCUGCGAGGCGGAGGUUGCAGUAAGCCAAGAUUGUACUCCAGCCUGGGUGAUAAAGUGAGACCCUAUCUCAUAAAAAACAAAAAAACAAAAACAGAAAAAAAGAAGACGAAGAAGAAAGAGAGACAGAUUAGCAUUUGAAUGGGUGGACUGAGUAAAGCAGAUGGCCCUCAUCAGUGUUGGUGGGAAUUGUCCUAUCCAUUGAGGGCUUAAAUGAAACAAAGACUGAGGAAGGCUGAAUUCAAUCUCUGCUGACUGCUGGGGCUGAGACAUCAAUCUUCUGCUCUCAGUGCUCUUCCAGACUCAGACUGGAAUGUACACUAUCAGCUCUCCAGUUCUCAGGCCUUCAAAUUACACCUCUGGCUUUCCUGGGUCUCCAGCUUGCAGAUGGCAGAUCAUGGGACUUCAUGGGACUUCUCAGACUCCAUAACCAAGCAAGCCAUUUUACUUACUCUGGACUCAUUUUCUUAAUCCAAAAAUGGAAGUAAGGCUUGUCAUCUGUCUUAUUCAUAGUCACAGG